rnacentral:rRNA from 1 species
AGCGAACGCUGGCGGCAGGCCUAAUACAUGCAAGUCGAACGGUCUCUUCGGAGGCAGUGGCGGACGGGUGAGUAACGCGUGGGAACGUGCCCUUUGUUACGGAACAACUGAGGGAAACUUCAGCUAAUACCGUAUGUGCCCUUCGGGGGAAAGAUUUAUCGCCAUUGGAGCGGCCCGCGUUGGAUUAGCUAGUUGGUGGGGUAAUGGCCCACCAAGGCGACGAUCCAUAGCUGGUCUGAGAGGAUGAUCAGCCACACUGGGACUGAGACACGGCCCAGACUCCUACGGGAGGCAGCAGUAGGGAAUCUUGCGCAAUGGGCGAAAGCCUGACGCAGCCAUGCCGCGUGAAUGAUGAAGGUCUUAGGAUUGUAAAAUUCUUUCACCGGGGACGAUAAUGACGGUACCCGGAGAAGGAAGCCCCGGCUAACUUCGUGCCAGCAGCCGCGGUAAU